rnacentral:rRNA from 1 species
AGGAAGGUAGUGUAGUUAACACCUGCAUUAUUUGACGUUACCUACAGAAGAAGCACCGGCUAACUCCGUGCCAGCAGCCGCGGUAAUACGGAGGGUGCGAGCGUUAAUCGGAAUUACUGGGCGUAAAGCGCAUGCAGGCGGCCUGUUAAGUCAGAUGUGAAAGACCCGGGGCGUUAACCUCGGAAUUGCAUUUGAAACUAGGCAGGCUAGAGUCUUGUAGAGGGGGGUAGGAAUUUCAGGUGUAGCGGUGAAAUAGCGUAGAGAUCUGAAGGAAUACCAGUGGCGAAGGCGGCCCCCUCGGACAAAGACUGACGCUCAGAUGCGAAAGCGUGGGGAGCAAACAGGAUUAGAUACCCUGGUAG